CCUACGGGGGGCUGCAGUAGGGAAUCUUCCGCAAUGGACGAAAGUCUGACGGAGCAACGCCGCGUGAGUGAUGAAGGUCUUCGGAUCGUAAAACUCUGUUGUUAGGGAAGAACAAGUAUCGUUCGAAUAGGGCGGUACCUUGACGGUACCUAACCAGAAAGCCACGGCUAACUACGUGCCAGCAGCCGCGGUAAUACGUAGGUGGCAAGCGUUAUCCGGAAUUAUUGGGCGUAAAGCGCGCGCAGGCGGUUUCUUAAGUCUGAUGUGAAAGCCCACGGCUCAACCGUGGAGGGUCAUUGGAAACUGGGAAGCUUGAGUGCAGAAGAGGAGAGUGGAAUUCCAUGUGUAGCGGUGAAAUGCGUAGAGAUAUGGAGGAACACCAGUGGCGAAGGCGACUCUCUGGUCUGCAACUGACGCUGAGGCGCGAAAGCGUGGGGAGCGAACAGGCUUAGAUACCCCGGUAGUC
rnacentral:rRNA from 1 species